UACGGGAGGCAGCAGUGGGGAAUAUUGCACAAUGGGCGCAAGCCUGAUGCAGCCAUGCCGCGUGUAUGAAGAAGGCCUUCGGGUUGUAAAGUACUUUCAGUCGUGAGGAAGGUGUUAAGGUUAAUAACCUUAGCAAUUGACGUUAGCGACAGAAGAAGCACCGGCUAACUCCGUGCCAGCAGCCGCGGUAAUACGGAGGGUGCGAGCGUUAAUCGGAAUUACUGGGCGUAAAGGGCACGCAGGCGGUUAAUUAAGUUGGAUGUGAAAUCCCCGGGCUUAACCUGGGAAUGGCAUUCAAGACUGGUUAGCUAGAGUCUUGUAGAGGGGGUUAGAAUUCCAUGUGUAGCGGUGAAAUGCGUAGAGAUGUGGAGGAUACCGGUGGCGAAGGCGGCCCCUGGACAAAGACUGACGCUCAUGUGCGAAAGCGUGGGGAGCAAAC
rnacentral:rRNA from 1 species